GUCCUCUCAGACACAUUGCUGAGCCAAGGCUCCUAAAUGUUUCGAUAAUAGAUCCAGCGCCAUCUAUUUCUUUGACAAGGUCGCUAGGUGGCCGCCGAAAACACACGGGGUAUAGAAUGCGCAAAGCUGUUUGUUCAGCGUACUGAAGGCUCGCCGAAGACCUCGCUGUGUAGCUGCUCCUGCAGUCAACUUCAUGGAUGAUCCGAGAAACACUUACCCGGAAAAUGUUGCCGGAAGCGCUAGCUGCUUACCGCAUGUUAAGCCAACGCAGCUACUCCAGGAACGUCCGUACCAGGCUUCUUUCCCUGCUAAGACGGAGAAAGACUGCAACGUACAACGCAACGACCCGACGUUCCAUCCACUGCACACCUUUCGAGUUCACGACUACUGGCGAAGUGACGAUCGAUUCAAUCGAUGAUCCGAAUUUUAUGUAACGCUGAAUUAACUGGGCGU